rnacentral:rRNA from 1 species
CACGUAGGGCGCAAGCGUUGUCCGGAAUUAUUGGGCGUAAAGAGCUCGUAGGCGGUCUGUUGCGUCCGCUGUGAAAACUCGGGGCUUAACCCCGAGCCUGCAGUGGAUACGGGCAGACUAGAGGUAGGUAGGGGAGAAUGGAAUUCCCGGUGUAGCGGUGAAAUGCGCAGAUAUCGGGAGGAACACCGGUGGCGAAGGCGGUUCACUGGGGCCUUACCUGACGCUGAGGAGCGAAAGCGUGGGGAGCGAACAGG